rnacentral:lncRNA from 1 species
CUGAAAAGGUCUAAAUGAGUGUUUUGUUCAUUUGUGUCACUUAAGCGACAGAGUGCCAAAAAAGCGAAAUGGAAAUCAUGCAUGAUGCUCUCAUUAGCUCUUGUUGUUCACAGAGACUCGUGGCAGGAAUGACACACGAGUGAUAUGCAUUGUGUUGGAUUUGGUGACUGUUAUGUUGGAGUGUGGCGUGAAGAGACUUGGGGACAUUAAAUCACUGAGAGUUCUCAUGCAAGACGGACUCUGCCAUCACUUACUUACUGUAAAUGAGCAA